rnacentral:rRNA from 1 species
UUGGCGGACGGGUGAGUAACGACGUGGAAAACCUAGCCGUAUACUGGGGGAGUAACACUUAGAAAUAGUGCUAAUACCGCAUAAGCGCACAGCUUCGCAUGAAGCGGUGUGAAAAACUCUGGUGGUAUACGAUGGUUCCGCGUCUGAUUAGCUAGUUGGUGGGGUAAUGGCCUACCAAGGCAACGAUCAGUAGCCGGCCUGAGAGGGUGAACGGCCACAUUGGGACUGAGACACGGCCCAAACUCCUACGGAAGGCAGCAG